rnacentral:lncRNA from 1 species
GCCUGUUAUAUAUAUAAAUAGCAAAUACACUUUAUCUAUAGUAUCUGUAUGAUCAUAGUAUACAGAAAAACGCAAAAAAUAAUUGUUCUGUCCCAAGUACUUAUGCAAAUUAUGUUUAAUUUCAAAACAGGCCUAAAGGGCAGCGGAAGUCUUUCUUAUUUAUCAAAAAGUCAGUCCGAUGACAGAAACAAUAUAUGGACGCCUAUAUUUUCGUUUUCCUCCCAAAAUAACCCAAACUGAAAUACUUUAAGCAAGAAUGAUAAAUGCUAGAACACACCCGCAAAAUCGUGGGCAUCCAGAGCGUGGUUGAAAGUAUGUUAAGUGUUGUAGGAUGAAUUUUUGUAAAACCAGAUGCUCCGCAGGGCGUAGCUUUAUACGACCGCAGAGGUUGAACCCUGAACGGUUGGGGCAAGUAUGGACACAACAUUCAAGCUUGAUUCAGCUCUAAAUUUGGAUUGUGAUUAAAUAGUUGACACAGCAUAGGUUUCUGACACAGAAUGAAUGUGUUCUAAUGAACUUAAAAUUUUUGUUUUCUCUUAGAGCAAUUCACUAUGCUGUUGAAUAUUAAUCCUCUCAAAAAAAUGUUUGAAGAAAUUUUCUUUUUAUUUAUGAAAUUUCAAAUGAGAAAAAUUGAACCCAAUUUUUUUAAUCACAUCCCCUUUCCUUAUUCCAAAACUAAUCUCAAUUAAAAUUUCUAAUGGAGUUUGCAACAAUAACUACUCAUUUAAAUACAUCAUAAAAUAUUAAGAUGUAAAAAAACUGC